rnacentral:tRNA from 1 species
ACCUAGCUGGCUCAGUCAGUAGAGCAUGCGAUUCUUAAUCUCAUGAUUGUGAGUUCAAACCCCACAUUGGGUG